GUUUUAUUUGCACCAGGCCGCUCCUGGCUUCUGGGGUGCUACAGAGUCCUCUUCCAGCAUAGAUUUGGCAAAAUUCCAUUCUGGAACCAUAUUGCAGUACCAGGAAACUCACAGACAUUACCAGUUCUGGGACCAGACCUCACCUCUGUUGUCGUACGUAUUUUGUUUUGUUUGAAGUUUAUUUUUUAUCUUCUUCUUAUAGAGUUUUAUAUUUUGUAGCUAUCUUUUGGCUUAUAUAUUUCAGCACCAAAUCCCAGAAGGGAGCCUACUUUAUACCCCUCCUCCCUCCUUCCCAAAGUGGUCACAGUAGAAUUCACCUCAGAAAACAGGGAUGCAAAAUUUCCUUCGUUCCUGUGUUCAGCCUCUUCUGUUGCCAGAGGGAAAGCAGUGUAAUGUGUCUGGAAGUCACAGCUAAGUGCCCUUGGGCUCAUUUGGCGCAUGGAAAUCAAUAUUUGUUGAGUUCCUGCUGUGAGUCUGGCUCUGCUAGGUAUAGCACGCUCAGGCUUUCAGACCAGAAGGAUUUUGCAGAUCCUAUAAAAAUAAGGCUUUCCUUCCAUCUGUCACCUUCAGAGGUCUCUGUUGUUUUUUCUUUCUUUCUUUCUUUUUUUAAGGGGCCAAUAUGCAGGCUUCCCUUGGGACCUUGUACCCAGCAUGGGCUUUCAUACAUGAGAAGUUGUCAAAGAAAGAUCUAUGUGAGCCCCAGCUCAGAAAUUGUUUGAUGCAGCCCAUUCUAUGAAUGAGACUUGUUUUAAAAUUUUUGAAAAAUAUACUUUAUCCAACCAAACUACAGAGGCUCCUCCCCCCCCCCGCCCCCCCCUACAUUGCUGGGGUUAGGUUUUAUGUUGAAGCAAUGUGUAGCUCCACCUGCUGAAAUGGCUGAGAAGACUCACCCCAUUGUAAGAAUAUUACCUAAGCAGUACAGCACCUAGGUGGAGAGCUGCUGAGGAUGCAGGCAAGACAGCCGUGGAAGGAGCAGCAGUCUACAAGAGAACAGAGUGUACAGGAGAAAAGGGGACCAAAGCACAGUAAAAGAAACAGGAAAACACAGAAAAGAGAAAAAGACGACAGUAAAAUUCACAGGGUGGUGCAGAUGACUGGCUUUUGCUCUCUGGAGGGAAUUUUGAAAAACUCUGGAAACAAGCAUUUUCAUAAGUAAAAACUCGAUAAGAAAAAAUAUCCUGUUCACUUAGAUGAACAACAAAGUCAGGCUGGGGCUAUAGCUCAGUGGCAGAGUGCUUGCCUAGCAUGUGUGAGGCACUGGGUUUGAUCCUCAGCACCACAUAAAAAUAAAUAAANGUCUCCAAAGGAAUGCCCUUGGUACCACUGAAUUCAAUACUCAGGUAAUAAAAUUUCUGUUCAGCAAACAUUUUUCGACAUAGGAAGCAGUUCUAAUUCUAUUUGGGGAAUAUAGAUCGUUGGUGAAAUUCAGAGACCAUUAUCUCUCCUCCCUGUUUGAAGGAUUCAGAUUCCCCCAUCUGGUAAAACAUCCUGUACAAUCUGUUAUAAUCCUCAGAGGAGGAAAAAAAGCAAAGCUUUCAGGAACAGGUAAAACUGCUUUUAUUGUUCUUUGUUGCCAUGAAAGGACAUUAUAUAUUCAGCUCUAAAUGCUGAAUUCAUUAAUAACAGUGCUUUUCUUCCUCACCAGGAGUAAGGCGAUUUAAAUCAUUAUUUACUUCCUUUCAGCUAAGGCUUCUGUUGUUCUGAUCAGCUAAUUGAACCAUGGAAUAUCUCCUUGGGAAGAAUGUGAGGCAGAAGUGCAAGUGUGUCUGCAGAUGCUGGGCUCUAAAAGCUCACAGUUAAUUGCAAAGUCACUGUUUGCAAUUUACUGUCUGCAUCUGUUGCCAUUUGGGUGCAAUGAUAAUGGCUACCCUUGGGAGUCAGGGUUGCCUCUCCUGAUAAGUCACUUCUAAAAUCAUCUAAACAAAUGAAGUCAUUUUUAUUUGUCAGCAUGAAUUAUGCCACUAGUAAAAGUCAUGAAUCCAUGUUGUUAAACUAAUGUGGAUUUAUUCUAAAGUCCUCACCACUCAAAUUAGCAUCAGGGAUACUAGGGCAGGCUCCAGUCAAAAGCCGGAUAGCAACAGCUUUAGCUGAAAUCAAAGACAAUCUUCGAUCAUCUCAGGAGAGCUACUUAAGUCAGUACCAGCCGCCAAAGGGUCCAUCAAUAGGAAAAAAAUUUAAUUGAAAAAAAGGCUUUUUGAAAUUCACUUCUUUCAUGCCUCCCCUUGCCUUUGCUGGCUCACCUAAAUAAAUUGUAUUUUCUCUUCUUGUGCCUGAAUACUCUCAUCUGAUGGUGUAACCUUCGCUUCCUUUCUUCUCCUUCUCACCCAAUACAAAAGAGGCUUUCUGUUUCCUCUUCCUGUCCAACAGGAAUUGUGUGCAAAUGCCUGCAUACACACACACACACACACACACACACAAUUUCCUGGGGUUAAAAUAGAAAGCAGUUACAGGAAAGGCAACCAGAUUAUGGACAAAGGAGAUAGUUCUAUUGACUAAGUUCCUUCUUGGGAUGACUAUUCCAUGGCAAAAUAACACAAAGAUGAGCAUCAGAAUUUCAAAUGAAACUUUCCAUCUAUGACCAGGUUGGAAAUGGGGGUGGCUAUGACUCAGAGGAAAUAUCAAAAUACAGGAAGUAUAGUUUAAUUUUUUUUUCACCAAAAACAGUAUAGUUUAAUAUGCACCUUCUCCUUCCUUAACUUGGUGUUGGAAGGUGUCCCACUUGGAACUCAAGUGAAACCAAGACAUUUCAGUGCUCUUCUGUGUGCUACAAGGGUAGGUCUUUAAGAAGUUUACUGGGAUAGUGAAGAAGAAAUCUUGGGGAAAAAAAAAACUUUCUUUUUCUCUGGAGAGAAACAUGCCCCAGAAAAAGGGAAUAGGGGUCAAGUCUAUAGGAGCGGAGGGGUGAUUCUGUGUGCCACGUGAGGUCCUCAACUCAGAUUUGCCGUUACAUCAGGCCCCACAGACCCACAUUUCAAUACAGGGGACAGAGUUGGUUAGUGAAGACCAACAUGAAGUAAAAUCUAAACCUUUUAUGAAAGAUCAUAAAAACUUGCUUAAGACAGCAGUAAUGAAUUGGUAAGCUUGUAAAAGGACAGUUGGCACACAAUUGGCACACUGAGGGCUCCCCUGCAUUGGACACAUCAAGUGUGAGCAGUAGGCGAGCCUGACAGCUACACCAGUGGAAGUGGCCUUAGUGUCUCACUGACUACAUCUGUCUGGAGAGGGAAGGGGACAUGCAGUGUGGACAAGGUUUAGAGGAAGAGACAUGGAAACAAAAUAACUGUUCGUGUAAGUUAACUGACUCUUGUUUGGGAGAGACACCCUGGGGACCUUUAUAAGUACUUGGGUUUGGGGGAGGCCACUGCAGAAAAAUGAGACCUGUAUUAGAUGGGCUCAAGAGCCAGUGAGUCGAGGUGAUUUCAUUGAUUAUUUCCCUAAGUGUGGUUUUACGCAUGGAGGGUCUAAGCAAGCAAACAAACUCUCAACUGUUUCUCUUUGAAAGGAGAGAAAUAUGCCAGUCCCUGGAAUGCUUUGGCACAAGAGUAAGCAAAACUGGAAUGUGUCACAGUUUUUUGUUUUGUUGUUUUGUUUUGUUUGAGGGGGUAAUUCUAGUCCAAUGAAGAUGGCACUGAGAAUAUUGGCAGGACUACUUAUAACUUUACCACUAUACUGGCAGAAAUAAUGACAAUUAUUAAUUAUGGGGUAUCAUAGGAAAAUGGAUUUAAUGCUUAAUUUUGGAGCUCUUUAUAUUUAUUCCCAUAUAUGUUUAUUCUUUUGAGAUUUAAUUCAUCAUUGGUGUUUGGUGAGGGAUUCUUCAAAGAUCUCGUGUCUGUAUCCAUUUUCCCAUGCUUGUCUUCUCAUACCAUUCUGUGUCCAUCUUGAAUCUUAUUUUAUGUUGAAAUAAUUGUUUAUAUUCCUGUCUCCUUCCAUGAGGCUAUGAGUUCCUCAAGAACAUGGCAAUAUUACAUGUUUAAAUUAUUUAAACUGAAUUCUUCAUAGCCUUCAUCAUUUUAAGAAUAAGCUCUCAUCUUAACACUGGCCCUACCCACCCCCCCAAAAAAAAAUCUUAGCUCAAGUAUUUAUGACGGUCUUAACCAUGGCUAAGAUUGGAAGUUCUCACUGAACGUCUAUAUUCUUCUUUUUCAAGAGUAAUAAAAAUCUUAGGUGGGAAUUUGGCAACAUAGAGAUGCUAUGCAUCUUGAGUCAAUUCAGGCUGCUCUAACAAAAUACCUUGGACUGGAUGGCUUAUAAACAACAGAAAUUUACUUCUCACCAUUCUGGAUGUAACAAUCUGAGGUCAAGGUGCCAGCAUGGUCAAAUUUCAGUUAAGGCCCUCUUCCAGGUUGAAGACAGCCAUGUAUCCUUACAUGGAAAGAAGAGGAUGAGAGUUCUCUCAUGUUUCUUUAUCUAAAGGAACUAAUCCCAUUCAUGGGGGCUCCAUUCUCACGACCUGAUUACCUACAGAGGCUUGCUUCCUGAUACUAUCACACUGGAGUUAGGAUUUUAACAUAUGGAUUACCAGUGGGGGCGGAGCAGCACAAACAUUCAGUUCACAAUACCGCAUUUCCCAUUCUCCCUUACCUGUAGUCAUGUAAUGAAGUUUUGGACAUUAGGAUACCAACAAAAUAUUGAGUGAAACUUCUAGUCUGUGCCAAGGAAGGGAAGGAGAUCAGUUUCCUUCCUCCAAACCCUACAUCUUGCUACUUGAAUCAGGGAUAUAGUGAUGAACUAUCCCUGCCUUUUAAGACAAGCGCCACUCCCUGUAUUUGGCAGGGGGAAAAACAGAUAAAAGGAAGCUGAGACCUUAUACCACAGACGCAUCAUGCACAUCCUCUAUACACAUCCCUGAGCAUGUGAGGGAGAAAUGAAUUUCUAUCCCAUUCAGAUCACUAAAUAUAUGAAGAUAAACACUGGUGUAUGAUAUACCAAAAAAUAUUCCACAGAACCAACCAGUGAUCUGUCCUUAUUUAUCACACCUUGAAAAUCCUCUUGGCAAAGAAUAAUAAGUUUAAUAUCAAAACAAUAAAUAACUACAUUAAAUCAGUAGCUGAUAUGAAAUUGGCAAGCUCCCUUGGAUAAACUACCAAAUUUCUACUAUGUUGUGUUCAUUUAUUCAUAAUUGCAAAAUAAGGGAAGGACCUUCCCUUCCAGCAUUCACUACUUACAUUGUCCAUUUGUCCACCAUUUAGCUGUCCAUUGGUUGAACUCCAAGAGGGCUGAAUUUAUAGUUUCUAUCUGCUGUCCCUCUUAGGUCACUCAGGUGUGGUUACCUCCCUACCCCAACACACUUGCUCUGAAACUCACAGAUCAUAUGCUGAACAUGGACAACAUAAUGAGAAACAAAUUUUAGUUUCAUUCAUAGUCACCUUCUGCUCUCUGCUUUCACUUUAUUUUAUCCUCUCCCACCUACCCCUUCAUCUUCUAAUUCUCUAUCCCCAAAGCAAUGACUUCCUACUAUCUACUACUUUCAUUGUCUUGUGCCAGAAAGAGUCGUUAACCAUAUUCUUUUUUUUUUUAAGUUACCCAAAGUGACCUGGUGUGUUGAGUUCAUAUCUUUUCUUUUUAAUCUUUUUUGUACUUGUAGAUGGACAAAAUGCCUUUAUUCUAUUUGUUUAUUUUUAUGUAGUGCUGAGGAUCGAACCCAGUGCCUCAUGCCAGCACUCUGCCACUGUAUCUUGAGUGGCUUUUGUAUCCCUAAUGAAUUCUGAGACUCAUGCUCACCCACCAAGUCUCCUUCCACGUGCUGUACCAUUGCACAUAGAGGUCCUGUACAGCCUAGCCAGGGUGGCUACCCAGGGCCUGAGGCAGAGAAGUUGUUAGGUGCUAAAGAGCCAGAUGAUCCUAUCCUGAAGUAAUAAGAAAUUUGUAAAGAUGAGAGACAAAUUGGUAGAAAGUCUUUAGAGAAAGCAGAAAAUCAAAUGCCUAGUUCUUUUGGUUGUUGUUAUUUUUAGAUAUACAUGACAGUAGAGUGUAUUUUGACAUAUUAUACAUACAUGGAGUAUAACUUUUUCCAGUUAGGAUCCCAUUCUGUGGCUAUACAUGAUGCAGAGUUUCACUGGUGGUAUAUUCAUAUAUGAAUUCAGGAAAGUUAUGUUCAAUUCAUUCUACUGUCUUUCCUAUUCCCAUCCCCCACUUCCCUUCAUUUCCCUUUGUCUAAUCCAAUGAACUUCUAUCCUUCCCCCCCCCGCCAUUAUGAGUCAGCAUCUACAUAUCAGAAAGAACAUUUGGCUUUUGGUUUUUUGGGACUGGCUUAUUUCACUUAGCAUGAUAGUCUCCAGUUCCAUCCAUUUAAUGGUAAAUGCCAUAAUUUUAUUCUUCUUUAUGGCUGAGUAAUAUUCCAUUGUGUAUAUGUUCCACAUAUUCUUUAUCUAUUCAUCUGUCAAAGGGCACCUAGGUUGGUUUCAUAGUUUAGCUAUUGUGAAUUUAGCUGUUAUAAACAUUGACAUGGCUAUGUCACUGUAGUAUGCUGAUUUUAAGUUCUUCAGAUUUAAACCAAGGAGUGGGAUAACAGUCAAAUGGUGGUUCCAUUCCAAGUUUCCUCAAGAAUCUCCAUAUGGCUUUCCAGAGUUUUUGCACUAAUUUGCAGUCCUGCCAACAAUAUAUGAAUGAACCUUUUCCCCCACAUCCUUGCGAACAUAAAAUGCCUAGUUCUAAAGGCAGAAGGGACAUACUGAAUAAGUGACAAAGUUCAAGAGUAAGAAAAAGAAUGUAGGUUGGGGAGUAGCUCAAUUGGAGGAGUUCUUGCCUUGCAUGCAUAAGGCCCUGGGUUCAACUCCCACACCACAAAAGAAAAAAAAAAAAGCAAACUAUUCAAAUUGGAAUUGGAUCAGGAUUCACAUCUCAUACCAUUACAAGUUGUUUGAUGGAAUGUAAUGAAAUCUCUAUUUGUUGCUUGUGAUUUUUUUUCCUAAGGUAGAGAGAAUUGAUUUACUCCUGGUAUGCUUCCAUCAGCAAGCUGGGCAAUGACCUCCUCUUACCUAGUUUUGUUCUUUUACUUCAUCAUUCUUGAUCCUCACUCCUAUUCUCCUUUCCAGUAUAGGGAUUUAUUCUAAUUUGCAAACAACAUAUGUCCUUGGAUAUGUCUAUGGAAAAUGGUACAGAAUUUAGAAUUCAAUUUGGAGUUAGUCAGGCUCAAACAAGGCCUUUCACUGGACUAGGUUGGAAUUAGUGUCCAUAUGUCUCACACCACUUCAGGUUGUUUGCUGGAAUGUGGUGAAAUAUAAAUCUAUAUUGUAUUGUGGUGUUUGUUUGUUCCAUAGCUAAGGUGGAAAAAGUUGAAUUACUCAUGGCAUGCUACCAUCAAGUCUUUGCAAGGACUCUCUCUUACUUGGCUUUGUUCUGUUUUGUUCCUUUAUUCUUGAUUCCCUCCCUUACUCCUUCCUCUGUCACAAGGACGUAUCCCAGUAUAUAACCCAUAUAUGUGCUUGUAUAUGUCUAUAUCCAUGUAAAAUAUGUGGUAUCAUACUGUCUGUAUUUGUAAUUUGUAAAUUCAAAAUUUAUGUGAUUUAAUUAUGGGGAAAGACUAAAUCGAGUUCCAUCUGAUUUAGGCAGGACCCACACCUCCUGGAUUCUGUAGCUUCAUUGUUAAUAAUAAAUAUGUCAAAAUGAAGAAAGCAUCCUGUGCUUCUGGGAUGAAAGGGAGUUCUGUGGGCUUCUGGAAACAUGCCCACUCCUUUUUCUCCCACCACACUCACCACAAUUUGCCUGAAUAGAGGCCAACAGAGCUAAUCCCACACAUCUUAUAGGUGUUUUUUGUUUUGUUUUGUUUUUUGAAUCCACCCAUUUUGUACCACUGGGCUUGGAGAUGCUUACGAAUUUUCAUGUCAACAAUUGUAAAGGGACUGAGAUUUUACCCUAUUUGCCACAGUUUCAUGAAAGCUGGCAUAAGACAUGAGACUCCUACAUCAGAGACAAGAGACAGUUCAUUAUUCAUAGAAAUAACAGUGGACAUUGUAUCAUUAGUUUUCUUGGGCUAGUUCCAUAAAAUCUAAUUUCCAGUGUGACACAAAGAAGAUCAGGUGACACUUGCACACAUGGGGAUGCAUCACAGGAGAGAAACCCUGAACUUAAGGAACACAAAUCUUUUUAAAUGGUUAGUAAGCCUGCCUGACCUUUGCCCUAAAGGGAGACAUUAUUUUUUAUCAUAGAACAGCAAGACAAUUUGCCCUUUGUUAUUUCUAUUUUCCAAAAAUGUUUGCCAUACAAACGAUAUCCUUGAAAAGGUAGUCCAGAACAAAUGCAGCCUGCUUGCAAGACGUAUAAAACUCUAAGACACCCUUGGAGGAUUGUUGCUUAAACCUCUUUCCAAAUAAUUUUCUCUUUCCUCCCGAAACACCCUGUCUAUGAAAGUUGGACCACUGGAUAACACUUUCUCACUGCAAUCAUCUACAAACCCUAGAUUAUUCUCACUCAUUUUCUGAAGAUUUCUAAAUAAAUCAAUGUAUACAUUAUUCUCUUAAUAUCCCAGGCUUUUGGUUCCAUGGUCUCUUCUUCCCCAGUGAGCUUAAACUUGAUUCCAUUUUCUGAUUACUUGUGAAGUUGAUUGUUAUGGCAAAUAACAUCAUGGAAUCUGUUAUGUUUUUAGUUGAUUAUUGCUGAUGCAGAGAAACAUUAUUGAUUUUUGUGAAUGGACCUUGUAUCUGACAUUCUUGCUAAAUUCUCAUAGCAGUUCUGUAAUCUUUCUGUUGAUUUAACCGAGAUUAUCUCAAUUGCAAAAGAAAAAAUAAAUAAGAGAAAGAAUGAAGGAGAAAGGGAGGAAGGAAGAUAGAAAGGGGGAAGUAAUUGAGAGGGAGGCAGGAAAGAGAGUAAAAAAGAAAAAGAAAUUGUUCUUUUUCUCCAAAACAUUAGGAAAAAACCCAAUAAUCUAGUGACCAACAUACAGCAAGAGUUAUAGUGAAUUGAACCCUUAUGGAGCAUAUGAUCAAAAUCAUUUGGUCUAAUUUAAUGGCACAGGUAGUUUCUGCUUUGCAUUUCAAUGAUCAGCUUGCUCAAUUCUGCCAAAUAAAUGCCUACACUUACCUUUUGCUUCCUUAUUCAUAUGCUUAUUCCUUUUUUGGCUAUAUAAUUAUAGAUGCUUUGUUAAUGUAUAAUGUUACAAAAGAGUGUACAGCUUUAUUUCAGCAGGCAGAGUAGUAACCAGUAGUCUUUAGCUUCUUUUUGAAUAGCCACACUUAAUUUCCCAACAUUCUCACCAGUACUCUCAAUGGGAAGAAAAUUUAAGCCCACGUUUUACAGGGGAAAAAAAAACCCUCUUGAGUAGUUUCCUAAAUGGUGAUGUAUAAAAAAUGCCCAAGUCACAGUAAUUGUUGUUGCUUGAUGAUCCAAAUUCAUUGCUUAAUAGGAGUUUCAAGAGAUUAAUUGCAUCCAAAUAUACACAUCACUUCCCGAAUUGAACAUGUACAAAAUCAAAUUUAUUCUAUCUAAAUAAACUUGGAAAAGAUUUCAUGCAAACACAUAAUUUUAGAAGCUGGGAAUUUCCCAAAAUAUUCACAAGAAAUCUAGAUGCCUCUAGAAACAAGUUCCUGAAAACGAUCAACUCAAUUGGAAUGGAAAUUUUUUCAUACCUAAAAAGCACAAGAAAUGGCUUAGUUAAAAAAUAAUUUCUACCAGAAUUAUUGCAAGGUACUUGGUAAAAUUUGAGCAUCAUUUAAACCACAACUAACAGAUUUCACCUAAAGUUUUUCAUAAGCUAAAUGGAAUUCAGAGCCACGUUAUACAACCAAGACACCAAGAUUAAACCUUAUUGAAAGGAACAGAACUCUCUGUAUUUAUCACAUGACACUGGAAUAAUCUUAGCUGCCCUCAGGGUAGACAGGACACAAUUUAAAUGCAAUGGUUUAGCAAAGAGACAGGAAUUUAAAACAAAAAUAGCUUUAUGAAAGUGAUCCUGUUAAUCUAUGGAGAAAACAUAAAAUACAAUGAAAAUAUUUUUAAACAGAACAUCAGAGUAGUUACUUAACAUAAGGUCAUCAUUAAAGACAGCAGGGUUGUCAAUGGAGUUAAUUCAUUAGAGAAUAUAUGUAUCACUAUGAUAUCAAAAAUUCUAUGUAGCAAUUACAUGUGCCACUAUGAACAAUGGCAGUGAGGUAUUCUCUCUUCCUUUCCUUUUUUGAUUUUUCAUUUUUUAAAAAUCUUUUUGCACAGUGCAGUGCAUAGGUAUGUUGCAGGUGUUCCAUCUUGGUGUUUUAAAGUAAGGUGAUAAGAGAUUUAAGGCUUUAAGCUAUUUCUAGAUAUAUUCAUUAUCACUGGUUUUGGUUAUCUAACAGACAUAUGAUUUGUUUGCAGGAACCACAAUGUCCUGAAUUAGUUCAGUCUAGACCAAUUAUUCUAACCCCCAACUUCGACUUUUAACUCUGCCAGAUGCUAUUUGACAGUAGAUUCCCCAAUACUGAAAAUCUUGCCAAGUGCACAUUAUGUUGUUGCAUAAUUACAGCUUUCUAGUACUCAGUAUGGUAUUAUUAGCUCAAGCUGUAGCUCAUUUAGGUUACAUAAUUAUAGCACGCUCAGCAGUGAGCACUGACCUAUGGGGGGUGGGGGGUGUUUCUGGUGUUAUUUUUAAUCUACUUUAAUUGAUGAUACAUGUAGUUGUUACAAGUACUCCAAAUUUUGAGAAAGUUUGAUACAUUGAUUUUGCAAGCAUCUUUUUGAAUAUCUAAUGUCACACCAAUAUUUUAGAGUUAUUAUUUCUUCUUAUGAUGAUUGAAUAUUAAUAUUAUUUGAGUAAUGUUUCUUUUUAUGGUUCUUUUUCUUGUGGGCACAUCUUAAAAAAUUGUUCUACUGCAGAGUUGUAGCUCAUUAUAUUUUUAUAAUGUCUAAGACACAGUCACAAUUCAGUAACUUUCAUUUCCUUAUUAUCAUUAGAUUGAUUUAUUUUACAGCUUCAAAUACUCCUUGAACAGGCACAGGUAAGCAACUGGUAUUCUGAAGAUGAAAGCCACAGCUAAGGAUCUCUUUCCAUUGCAAAUACAUAUAAAGUAAUUUUCAUGGAUCAACAUAGUCCUGACUCCUGGGGAGGAAGUUCAGAAGGAGCUUGGGAGUGGGGAUGAGGAAGGCUUGGGCUGCUUGGGCAUUUCCUCUCUAGCUGGCUUUGCUCUUAUAAAUCCCUCUUGACUAUUACACAUCGCAGCUGGGCUACCUUGCUUUUGCCUAUCUAUAUCUUUCUCUUGGAUUUAACUGCAUUACGAGAAAGGUUAAGACUUAAACACAUGGCACUUAAACUUCUUAAUAUCAAUAAUUGAAGAACUUUAAUUUAAAAAAAUGUUUUAGAGUUAAUUCUUUUACCUUCCCUUAGAGAAUUAUCAUAAAUAACCACAGUUAACGCUUUUGACGUAUUAUUUCAUACUUACAAAGCUCUGUGAACCUCAAGAAGAAAUUUCUUUAAUUGUGCAGUGCAUAUUCUGUUAUUCUUAGCAUUUGAUACCAAUGAAAUGAAUUUUUAAGAAAGAAACUUCCGUUUUCAAAAUAUUCAUAAUUUAGAUUUUAACAACGUUUAUUUAAAUAUUCCAAAAAUAAAAGCCAUGGCUGUUUCAAUACUAAGGAUCUCUUUCCAUCUCCAAAUACACAUAGAAGCAAUUUUCAUUUAUGGGGUUGAAAGUUUAUAUGCUAAUAAAGACAGGAGAAUCAUUUUGAUUCAAUAAAAGGCAAGAUAAUUAUAUAAAAAGAUUUUUACCAGUAUAAUUAGCUAAUAAAGAUAUAGAAGGCUUUUAUUUCAUGUGGGCCUUUUCAGAGACUUUGGUCUGACCAAUGAUACAUACAUAUACCUACAAUUUUCUUUUUUUAAAUAUUUAUAUUUUAGUUUUAGGUGAACACAAUAUCUUUAUUUUAUAUUUAUGUCGUGCUGAGGAUCAAACCCAGUGCUUCAUGCAUGGUAGGCGAGCGCUCUACCACUGAGCCACAAAUCCCAGCCCCUACACCUACAAUUUUCUUAAUGCUAAACCGUUUAAAAUAGGUUUCUGAAAAUAUCUUGAAAUUCCCCUUCCACAGGUCUUGUGACUAUGACAGAAUAUAUGUAUCAUAAGCAAAGCAGGCCUCUCCUAAUGGGUGUCUGGGAAGUAUAGAAAUGCCAGAAGUGUUGGAGACCUUGGAGAGCAUCCGUCCCAGCAAUGCCAUUUACAAACAAAGACACUAAGUUCAGAGAAACCAACCUGACUUAAAAUACCCAGACUGUCUGUAAAUCCAAGAGAUUAUUAAAAGGAUAAUCUUUUAAUUUGAAUAAACAAAUACUCAAUUUGUGGUUUGCAAAGAGAAUUACUCAUACAGUGUUCACCUAGACACCAAAGACUGCCUCAUUAAAGGCUACAAUCUUUAAAUGUUUAAUACGAAUACUUGAAUGCAACACAUUCACUUGAAAUUUUUUUGAUCUCUCUUAUGAGGCUGGGCAUCAUGGCUCACAUCUCUGAUCCCUAUGACUCAGGAGACAGAGGCAGAGAUCCGAAAAUUUGAGACCAGCCUGGCAAUUUUGUCAGACUCUGUCUCAUAAAUAAAAAAUAAAAAGGGCUGGAGAUGUCGCUCAAUGGUAAAGUGUCCCUGGAUUCAACCCCCAAUGCCAAAAGAAAAAAGAAAAGAAAUUCUUAUGGGAAGCAUGUAUGCUAGAUGCUAUGAAUAAUUUAAAGACCUAUUAAAAGGAAGGAGGAAAGAAGGGAAAGGGAGACGGAGAGGAAAGAAAAAGACAAUUCCUGUCUUCCAAAAACUUCUAACUGGAUAGACAAUCUUGCUAUUGUAACACUGUUUAAAUCUCCACAAGCAUUUCUACAUUAUGUGUCUCUAUAUUAGGUGAAAAGUUCUUUGAAGGCAGGGAGCAUAUCUUGUUCACUGAUUUAUCUCCUGGAGUACCUUCUGUUAAUUGCAUUGUUGUGUAAAUGCUUCCUUUAUAUACCAUCAUCUUUUACUUACCAUUUCAGUUGUUUUAAUGCACAUCCAAUAAAUCUUGUUCAUAAAAGUAAAAAUGUUUUAAGAACAAUAACAUGCAUAAAUGGGCUUCCUAAUAUGUGAAAGAAAAGUACAAGAUGAAAAAUUUAUUAACUACUUUAGAUUACAAGUCAGUAUUUUUCUUGAAAUGGGUAAAGACAUAUUUUGGAUAUAUACUCAUUGAACACUCUUGCUAAAGCCAUUUAAUUGUGAAUCUGCAGUUAAGCUGCCAAAUCUCAGUUGAAGAUGAAUGCUUUGAUUAGGUAUGCCUUUGUUUAAUUAUACCAGGUUGAGAACGGAAAUUGUGUAACUGAAAGGCAAGAAGGGAUGUUACAAAUCAGAUGAGGUUCCUAGAGACUGGUGAUCAGUUGACAGGUAUUUGGUCUGUUUAAAGGAGGAAGAGGAAUAGAUGAACUCUAGAUAGGGCAGAGGGGUUGGAGGGGAAGGGAGGGGGCAUGGGGUAAUUAAUGAUGGUGGAAUGUGAUGAUCAUUACUAUCCAAAGUACAUGUAUGAAUACACGAAUUGGUGUCAAUAUACUAUGUAUACAACCAGAGAUAGGAAAAAUUUUGCUUUAUGUAUGUAAUAAGAAUUGUAAUGCAUUCUGCUGUCAUAUAUAAAUUAAAAAUUUACAUAUAAAAAGUAAAUAAACAAAAUAAAUAUACUGAAAAAAAAAGGAGGGAGAGGUAGGGCUGGGUAUCAUAGGGGAAGACUCUUUGGAAUCAGCCAGAAGGAACCACAUGAGCAAAGUUGCCUCAGUAGAGACUCAUUCGCCAUUUGGGUAUCAGUUCUGAUAUGUAGUUUCUGCCUUACUUGCUGUCGCAGAGUGCUUUUGGUACCUUCCCUAAUUCUCUAAGUCACUUUGGAACAAGGUCUUGCUUGACUCUAAUCAGCCUAAAUGGCUGGAGUCCUCUCACCAUGCCCUAGAGCGUGCUCACUGGCUUACUGCAUUUUCCAAAUGCUUUCACCUCUCAGCCUGAUUUUCUGGGAAUCUGGGUGAACAAGCAUAAGCAAAUUUAAUCUUUUCUGAACUUUGGCACUUAGAGACUAGGAAAAAUAAAAUCCACCACACUGGUUUGCUGUGAGGGUAAAAUCAAUGAUGUCUGUAAAUUUCCUUUCACAAUGCCUGACACACGUGAUUUCUGCUCCCCUUCGAAGCUCUGUCCAGGAGCUGGUACUCCUUUGCCAAUUGGUGUUACUGUCAACUCCACCCCCAUAUUCACCCAGACACAGGGACUACUCUUUUGAAAUACCAUCCAUUUUUGUUGGUCUUCUCUCCAGCAGCCUCACUGCAGAGUGGUAUUGCCACCUUCCUGAGCGGCUGGCCCUAGGCCUGUGAUGCCUGCUCCAUCUCUCCAGCCGGAGGAUCUUAUAGCUUGUUCUGGACCCUCCCAGGCCACAGCUUCUUGAUGACAAGUUAUGUGCUGAAAUAAGACACCAGGAACUUCUAGUCUAGAAAAGAGAAAUUUUAGGAACACUUAGAGCUGUUUCCAAAUAUUCAAAGUCCUGGCCCAUAAACAAGGAAUUAGACCAAGGUUUCUAAAAGCUUUUAUGUCAUGGAUUGCUUUGAUGGUCCAGUGAAGCUAAUGGACCCUUUCUUGAAAUAGUGUACAAACACAGAGGCUUACAAAGAAACCAAUUACAUUAAAAUGCAAUUAUUGAAAUGUUUUUAAAAUAAGUUUGUGAUACAGCAACAUGUGUGGCUUUUAUUCAUGCAAACAAUGUGUAAUAAUAACCUCUGAAAUUAAAAGGUUGUACUGAGUAUAAAUGAUAUUUCAAGAUUUCUGAGACAACUGCAAUGCUAUACAAAAACGUCUAUGAUUUCCGUUAUUGAUAAAGUCAUGGGAAUGGUUAAUACUGUUGUGGUUUGGGUCUCCAUUUACUAAUUGAAGGAAAACAAAAUUUAGUUAGAGGUAAGUAAAAAUAAAGAUGUUAUUUCUUUCCAUCUAAGUUCACCGACCGUUGAAGUGUAUCCAUUAAUAUUCUUGGCCCAUGCCUCUCCCUCACCAACUCCCAACUCACCUCACCCUCAUAAGAAGCACAAGGACUUUAAAUUAGGCUCAUUCUCUGCCAUUCAAAAGAACAGAAUUAAUCUCAGUGGGUCCAGGUUAUAAGAAGGCAGAUCUUAGCUCAUCACAAUGAAGAACUCUCUGACAAUUAAAUAUUCUCAAAAAUAAUUGCCCACUUAGUGAAGUCAUGUUUUUUUAAUCACUGAAAGUAUUCAAAAGAAGCUAAAUAUUACCGAAUUAGGAGACUUUGUAUUAGAGAGAAAAUUGGAUUUUCAUUUACAUAAAUUACAAUGGGAGCAAUGCUUCCUCAAGGUGGACAAAGCAGCCAUCAGUCCUGGUAAUACCUGCCAGCCACAGUGCAAGGUGAUGUACACUCGUGGACUCGGACACACUAAGCUUAUGAGGCAGCCAUCUUCUCCUGAUUAUCAGUUCAGGAUCACACUAUAGAAUCUUGACAGAGACAAAUAUCUAACAGGUUGAAUUCAAAUCAAAGUCUGCCUGGCCUCAAAGUUCCUAUCUGUAAUACUGAGUUAAUAAUAUUUACUGGUUGCUAUUAGAACUUAAAGAUAAUGUGUAUAAGUGCAUAUGUCAGAUGAUAAAAAAAUGAUUCGAAGUGUUUUACAUGUAUUACCUAAUUUUCAUCAUCAUGAAAACUUUAUUAUUUUAUUAUUAUCAUUCCUAUUUUACAGAUGAGAAAACAGAGGCACUAAGAUAUUAUAUAGCAUUCCCAAGGUUAUACAACUACAAACUGAACUUUACCCAGGUGAUCUGACCCCAGAGUUCACCAUAGUGAGCACCAUGAUAUGCUGCACUCUGGCAUGGUACUAGUAAUUUGUUUUUGGUGUAUGAAAGGUUGCUCUCUCCAAAAAGAUGGUCAUUAUUUGAAGAUAAAAUGGAACUGCUGUAGUAAAACCAGAGUUUAGAUGGCCAUAUAAAUUCAGAUUAGACCUGUUGUUUUGUUCAUCACUGUGUAGCCCAUGAAUGUUCUGUAUUAAAGAUCUCUGACAGUCAUCCUAAUCCACAUUUAGGUUAGUAGCUAAGCAAGAAAGAUUUUCUCACUUCUUGAUUCUUAUGCUUUCAUCUCGGUUCUGUCACGGCUGUUGGAUGAGUCAAAAACAAAUAACCCUGAGCCAAAGCAAAAAGAUCUAGACAGGGCUCCUGCUCCUGUCUGACUCUCUGUGAGGGAGAUCAGCAACAAAUAUGUCUGCUUUAUGUAAGCCUCACCACAAAACUGUUGUCAUUUAAAACAAGCUGACAAUUUCACUUGGAGGUUUCUCCCCUAUUUUUCUGCUGCCAUCUCUUCCUUGUCUCCUCACGCCUGAGGGGUACAACAAGGAAGGAUCUUUAAAAGGAACUACGAUAUUUUCAAAAUAAAAUGAGAUUUUUCAGCAUCCAUCCUUGUCAGUUUGGUUCAGAACCAACUCAUUCUGCUUUUGCUGCCUUUAAAAAAUACCACUAAAUUAUUAUUUUUUUAUCUGAGAAUUUUCCUUCAUGGCUGGUCAUGACAAUGUACUCCAAGGAAAAAACGAGAACCACCCACUCCCGAGGAGGCUUUUUAAACUGCCACUUUGACGAUGCUAAGCCGGUUUCUCUAUCCCACUGGGUACUCCGAGGUGGUGAUUCACAAGCUGAGAUUUAUGACUUGCUAUGCUCAAAGAAACAAACAAAAUGUCUAUUUCUGGAAUUCCUUUUGAAAAGUCACCUGGAUCCUUCACAUUCCCCACCCUCUCUCUCUCUCGGUAUUUACAAAACUGCAUUUCUGAAUUAUCAUCUGCCAAUCUUCAUAAAUGGAGAUAGUCUGCUAGACAUGAUGAGUUAAGGCUGAACUGAGGUAUUGACAGCCCACACCUUGCAAGGGAGUGUGUUACACAUUCAUAUGCAUUCUCUCAUUGACCCUUCCAAAAUCUCUACGAGGUAAGUACUAUAUAUGGCUCCCAUUUUCUGUGGAUGAACAAAGUAAGCCCAGAGGGAUUAAGUAACUGUCCCUUGUAAGUGAUAGAACUGGAUCCAAGUCUGUCGGAAUCUAAAGCUCAGGUUCUAAACUGAGCAUCUAUUUUCAUUGCUCCAGAUGCCUUUCUCAACAAUCCAGAUGGGCCUCUGGCAAAUACUGCUGAAAUACACUUGUUUGAUAGCUACCUAUUAAAGUCUUCUAGGCACCUGUAAAACAGAUACCCCAAGAUACUUUUUCUUAUAUUCUCUGUGCCUUGAAAUUCAAUUUAAGUGUUGCUAAUAUUUAUUGAGAACUCUGCAUGUGCUGGUUAGUGCAAGAAGUUAUUUUUAUCAAGAAUAGAAUGGUAUUUUGGAGAGAUCAGUUUAUAAAUGCAGCCACUACCUGUUACCUUUCAAUGGGAUCUGGCUGAGCUGGUUUGAAGUCACUGGGGUAAGUAUCGUGGAGAUGACUAAGAUGAACCCUACAACAUCCACCCCUAGGAUCUUCCAAGGUAAGAGAGCAUCAGGGCCAGUCACUGGGAGCACACAGAGACCCAGUAGGUAGCUUCAGAUUGUUUACUGAUCCUGAAAGGGGGAUUCACCUGUGAACAAUGUUCCUUAGGGAUUUUGUUUUUAGGAAAAUCCUUUUAAUGUUUCUUGAUCCUAUGGGUAUGUCUUCACAACUCAAAAAAAUAGCCAUUGAUGGAAUUGCCAGAAGUUACUUAGAUAAUUUUUUUAUAUUUAUUUUUUAGUUUUUUUUAGGUGGACACAGUAUCUUUAUUUUACAUUUAUGUGGUGCUGAGAAUAGAACCCCGUGCCUCACGCAUGCUAGGCGAGCGCACUACCACUUGAGCCACAUCCCCAGCCCCUGCUUAGGUAAUUUUUGUCAGCUCAAGCUUUAAGCUGCCUAUGGCUAAUCUUGCUAAAGUAUUAUUUUAUCAAUACACACCGGGCUUCACCUAUUAACUCUAUAAUAAGUGCAGAAGCCUAGACAUUUUAUAGGGUAGUUGGUAGGAAUUAUUAUAGUAAGAAACAUUUUAUGGGAAUUUAUUCUGUUAUUUAAAAGGAAUAUAGAUUAUAAAUACUGAACUUUUCUAGAAGAAAAAAGAGACAUCUUAGAAUGUUUAAACUGAAGUAUUUUUUUGUAUUAUAUGUUCCUGUAUCACUUUUAUUUCCAUUUGUAAAUCGUUAAAUAAUUAAGAUUAAGAAGAAAAUCUUUCUUAUGAGUUAAAGAAGCAUUUUAGUAUUUGUUCUGGAUAAUUUUAAUUUCUUACCUGUAAAAAAACUAUUAAAGCUAUUUCCUGAAACAAAACAUACAGAUGGUUGUAUUCAAGGACUCUCCAUUCUGCUUUCCAUAUUGGCUGCACCAAUUUGUAGUCCCACCAGUCAUGUAUGAGUGUGCCUUUUUCCCCACAUCCUAGCCUACACUUAUUGUUGUUUGUCUUCAUAAUUGAUACCAUUCUGACUGGAGUGAGAUGAUAUCUUAGAGUAGUUUUGAUUUGCAUUUCUCUAAUUGCUAAAAAUGAUGAACACUUUUUCAUAUACUUGUUGAUUGACUAUAUAUCCUCUUCUGAGAAGUGUCUGUUCAGGUCUUUGGCCCAUUUAUUGAUUGAGGUUUUUUUUUUUGGUGCUUAGCUUUUUUAGUUCUUUAUAUAUUCUAGAUUAUAGAUUAGUGCUCUAUCUGAUGUGUGAGGGGUAAAAAUUUGCCCCUGAAGAUGUAGGCUCUCAAUUCACCUCACAGAUUGUUUCUUUUGCUGAGAAGAAACAUUUUAGUUUGAGUCCAUCCCACUUAAAAAAAAAAGUGUUCAAUGUAAUUAUUACAAUUUUUAAAAAUUUAAAUCUCUAUUACUCACCUGUGAGUUAACAACCAAGAGCUGGGGAUGUAGCACAAUGGUGGAGUGCUUGCCUGUCAUGCUUACGGUGCCAGGUUCAAUUCCCAGAACCAGAAAAAUAAGUAAAUAAAGAAAUAAAAAUAAAAGCUGAGAGUGCGCAAAUGUUUGUAAUAAUGUGGUAACAAAGGUCCUCUCCUGUAUCAAGGGUGAGUCAAAUCUUUCAAACAAAAUUAUUCAACAAAUUUUAUAAAAGUCUUUUAAAGGUCCAUGCCCUCAUGUUUUUAAAAUCUAAUAGUAUGGUUUCUAAAAAUGCAUUUUAAGAAGCUAGUUAUAGACAAAAAUCAAAGAUUUAUACCAAAUGCAUUUAUCACAACUCCAUCAGAAGAGGCAGAAUCUCUAGCAGCAUAUGUUCCUGAGGUGAUCUUAGGGACACUAGGCACAGCUGAGGACCAGGCUAAGGGGUCACACUUGGAGAGAUUUGAGGGUAAGUGCACAUACAGAACAGUAAGAUCCCUCUUUCCCUUUUGACUCUCGGAGUUCUGGAAGCCAGGUGGAUAUUUCCCAGGCAGAAGACAGGAGAACACCUCUAAGAUAGCUGGCUGUUCAGGAGAAAACACAUUCAUAAAUGGACAAUUAGGUGUCCCCAUGAAACCUGUAGAUUUCUGCCUAGUUACUGUACAGUGAAGUCCACCAACAUGCAAACAUACAAAUAAGCCCCAAACGUGCAAACAGGGCUUCCCAUCAACAUUUUAGUAACUUGCACUUAGGCAGAACCAAGGAUCACUAGAUUUUUUUUAAUAUUUAUUUUUUUAGGUGUAGAUGGACACAACACAAUGCCUUUAUUUUUAUGUGGUGCUGAGGAUCGAGCCUUUAUUUUUAUGUGGUGCUGAGGAUCCCACCCGUGCUAGGCGAGCGCUCUACCGCUGAGCCACAAUCCCAGCCCAAGGAUCACUAGAUUUUUUUGAGGAGAGCUUUUAACAUGAAAGACCCAGACCAAACAACUUCUGAGACAAUUCUGAGGUAAUUCAGGAAGUAGAAAAAUUAAAGCAAAAAACUAUAAUAAUAUUCUCAGAGAUAAAAAGUAAGGUAUUUAUGAGAAAAAAAAACAGAAUAAUUUAAAAGGAAUAUUUAGAGAACAAUAAAAGGCUCUGAAACAUUAAAAAUAAUAUAGUAGAAAUUAAAAAUCAAAAGAAAGCUUGAAGAUAAUGGUCAAGUGAAGUUCCUAGAAAGAACAAAUGACAGAAGAAAAUGAGAGAAGUACAAGCCAGUUUCUCAGAAUGAAAGGACAGUCCUGCAAAAAGACUAAACCAAGAAAAAACAUCAUGAGAUACCAGAAGACCAAGGAUUUUUAAAUAUAUAUGGAGGUAUGAAAAGUUCUUUGAAAGGGAAAAACAAAGGAUCAGGGAUCAGAAUGGGAUUAGAAAAUUCCUGGUCACAACCACUGGAAACCAAAAGACAAUUAAUUAAAAGUUCAAAUUCCUAACAUAAGGUGAUUUCUAAGUCAAAUUCUGCACCUGUCCAUACUCUACAUAUAGAGCAAAAAUAAAUAUUUUUCAGAUAACCCAGGUCUCAAAUAAUUUGCCUCCCAUAUUUUCUUCUCAGAAAGAUCUUGGGAGUUAUUGGCCUCCACUGAAAUAAGAGUAAACAAAGAAAGAGGGAAAGGGGGCCCAACACCAGAGAAAGGCCAAGGAUACACCAUGAUGGUGCAAAAGUAUAGAACCUGAUUAGCAGAUUUUACAGGAGCCUGAGAAAGAAGCUAUGUCAACAAGGAAAAAUGGGAUUGAUAGACUAUCAGAUGUGAUUGGCUAUUUCAGAGAGGUUUCUUAGACAGAACAUAUUCCAGGAAGAGAGUACAAUGCCAUACAUAAGUGGAUGAGAUAAGAUUCACAUUUAUGGUUAUAAUAAUGUAAUUAUCUAACACUAAUUUUAAUCUAAAACAAGCUAUAUGACUGUCUUUGUAGCAUGGAGAUUAAAAAAGCUUCUCUGAGUGGGGUGGGGAGAGGAUGGUUGGGUCUUAUCUUUCCUAACAGGAAAUUGUUCACAAUCAUUGAGAGAUAUUUGUAAGAGUCAGAUAGAUGAAGAUCAAAAUAUCAGCUUUAUUACUGAGCACCUUGGGUGCACCAAGAUUUGGGCGAAGUGAUCCUAGGAAGUAUAGUGAAGAAGGAGAUCAGGGCAAAGGACAGGGAGCUGAUUAUCAAAGAAAAGGAAAAGGUAGAUAGCACUUCCCUAUCACCAGGUUGCUAACAGCCUCCAGGGGAGGGGAAGGAUUACCUUUCCAACACAAGCAAUCACUUCCUGGAUGGCUCUCCUCCUGCCUUUUGAUCACAUAGACAUGAGAAGAAAGAAAACCUAAAAUCUAUAAAGGGACAAGACACCCCACUGCCAUAGGCACCAGCUCUGGGCCCCUUUCUUUCUGGAGCGCUCUCUCUCUCUCUCUCUCUCUCUCUCUCUCUCUCUGUUCUGUUUCUUAAAUAAAUUUUACUUUCUUCUCUUGCCUCGGUAUUUCUCAGGUGUUUAAUCUUCAAAACAGGGGGACGAGGACCCAAUCCUGAUUUUCAAGACCGAUAUCAGUGAUCCUAGGAAGUAUAAUGAGGAUGUAGGAAAAAGAAACAGAGAAGGGUGAAAAGCUAGUAAAGAAUGUGUCAGUGAGCUCAGUCCCACUGAGGACCUUCUGAGAAACUGUAUGAAACACAACUUAGAAUGGCCCCACUGGAAGACAGGGAGAUUGUCCCAUUGGUUGAAGAUGGUGUUUAUUAACAGCGCCCCCCUCCUUACUUUCCUUCUCCUCUUCUUCCUCCUCCUCCUCCUCCUCCUCCUCUUCCUCCUCCUCCUCCUCUUUCUCCUCCUCUUCUUCCCCCUCCUCCUUCUUUUUUGUACUAGGGAAUUGAGCUAUUGAACCCAGGGGUGAUUUUCCAUUGAGCUACACCCCCAGUCCUUUUUUUUUUUUUUAAAUUUUGAGACUGGGUCUUGCUAAGUUGCUGAGACUGGCCUUGAACUUGUGAUCCUCCUAUCUCAGCCUUUGAGUUGCUGAGAUUUACAGGAGUGUGCCACCAUGCCUAGUUUCCUCUGCUCUUCUGAUUCUAUUUGUACAACUAAUAGCUUCUGUGGGACUGGAGAAAAGUCUUCUGCAGUGAAAUAAAAAGAUGCUAGUCCUCAACAGUGAGCUUAGAGAUGUAUGGAGGCAUAGGUGAUGCAUUAAUAGCUUGCUGUCAAACAUGGGAGGGGUGGGGAAGGGGUGUGGGGAUAAGAAAGGUAGUAGAAUGAAACAGACAUUAUUACUGUAUGUAUAUAUGUGCUACAUGGCCAAUAUGAUUCUGCAACAUGAACACUCAGAAAAAUGAGAAAUCAUAUCCCAUCUAUGAAUGAUAUAUCAAAGUACAUAAAUUCAUUUUACUGUCAUGUAUAACUAAUUAAAACAAAUAAUUUUUUUAAAAAAAGCUGGAUUGGAGCAUGGAGGUUCCUAAUAUUCAACUAUGAGCUAAGUGGGCUCAGUCCUUCCUUCACUGGCCUCUUGCACAGAGCUGACUCUACCCCUGUACAUUCAUUGAAUGGAAGAAGAGCUCAACUGAAGGCACCUUUCCCAGGCAGGUGCAUCCAAGAGAGAGAGGAUGAGGUGGGCAUUCUUACUACCUAGGUAAGUCACUCCUUGGAGAAUGGAACAAAGGAUGGAAAGAAGGGCUCGAAGUUAUUAUAACUGACGUCACUCCAUGUGAAAGCAUAAGGUCAGAGAAAUGGAGAGCCCCACUAGUGUGAUAGUAGGAGCAAAUGUGACUCCAUUUUGUUUUAUGACUUCAUCCUGUAAAACAACCAUGCCAAGUAGAAGAGUCAUGACUGGAGCAAGAUGUUCUUUUCCUUUUGCUAUAGAAACCUUUAAGAAUACUGAACUACCUAAUGGGGUAUUGUUUCUGUAACUAGGGUAACGGGGCUCUGUUUCUGUAACUGGGGUGACUGGGCUAACUGUGAUUGGUUAGGCUUCCCUCCGCUUGACUGCACUGUCCCGCUUCUGUAACCUGGCUUGCUUGCAUUGGCUAGACCCCCGAACAUCCCUUUUGCGGUUUUCAGGCUUAUAAGGAGUGCCCUUGCAAUUGUUCGG
rnacentral:lncRNA from 1 species